CCUACAGGUGGCUGCAGUGGGGAAUAUUGGACAAUGGGGGGAACCCUGAUCCAGCCAUGCCGCGUGUGUGAAGAAGGCCCUCGGGUUGUAAAGCACUUUCAGUGAGGAAGAACGCCUGGUGGUUAAUACCCAUCAGGAAAGACAUCACUCACAGAAGAAGCACCGGCUAACUCCGUGCCAGCAGCCGCGGUAAUACGGAGGGUGCGAGCGUUAAUCGGAAUUACUGGGCGUAAAGCGCGCGUAGGUGGCUUGAUAAGCCGGUUGUGAAAGCCCCGGGCUCAACCUGGGAACGGCAUCCGGAACUGUCAAGCUAGAGUGCAGGCGAGGAAGGUAGAAUUCCCGGUGUAGCGGUGAAAUGCGUAGAGAUCGGGAGGAAUACCAGUGGCGAAGGCGGCCUUCUGGACUGACACUGACACUGAGGUGCGAAAGCGUGGGUAGCAAACAGGAUUAGAUACCCUAGUAGUC
rnacentral:rRNA from 1 species